rnacentral:rRNA from 1 species
CACUCCUACGGGAGGCAGCAGUGGGGAAUUUUGGACAAUGGGCGAAAGCCUGAUCCAGCAAUGCCGCGUGAGUGAAGAAGGCCUUCGGGUUGUAAAGCUCUUUUGUCAGGGAAGAAACGGUGAGAGCUAAUAUCUUUUGCUAAUGACGGUACCUGAAGAAUAAGCACCGGCUAACUACGUGCCAGCAGCCGCGGUAAUACGUAGGGUGCAAGCGUUAAUCGGAAUUACUGGGCGUAAAGCGUGCGCAGGCGGUUUUGUAAGUCUGAUGUGAAAUCCCCGGGCUCAACCUGGGAAUUGCAUUGGGGACUGCAAGGCUAGAAUCUGGCAGAGGGGGGUAGAAUUCCACGUGUAGCAGUGAAAUGCGUAGAUAUGUGGAGGAACACCGAUGGCGAAGGCAGCCCCCUGGGUCAAGAUUGACGCUCAUGCACGAAAGCGUGGGGAGCAAACAGGAUUAGAUACCCUUGUAGUCCC